GGAGCAACGGUAAACGUGGUUUACAAUCGAUUUCGAAAAGUGCAUUGAGCCAUCGUACGCAAUUACUGCAGUAAACAAUGUCGCCGAAACAGUUGGUUCGGGUUGCUCGAAACCGCGUCCCCGAAACAAUAACGCAAUAAACGAUACACGCCGCCGCGCGCGUACCGGGUCGAUUAUUGCGCGCUUCCGACCACCGCGUCGUCGUCAUCACAGCGCCGGGGUAAUAAUCAGCGGGUCGGCAAUCAACGAC